GCCCGGGUGGUCUAGUGGUAUGAUUCUCGCUUAGGGAUGGCAACUCGCCUGCAAACCCAAGCAUAUCUGCGAGAGGUCCCGCGUUCGAUCCGCGGCUCGGGCC
rnacentral:tRNA from 1 species